rnacentral:sRNA from 1 species
UGCGUCAAGUGCUUAGGCGAUCACGCCACG